rnacentral:rRNA from 1 species
UGCAAGUCGAACGAACUCUGGUAUUGAUUGGUGCUUGCAUCAUGAUUUACAUUUGAGUGAGUGGCGAACUGGUGAGUAACACGUGGGAAACCUGCCCAGAAGCGGGGGAUAACACCUGGAAACAGAUGCUAAUACCGCAUAACAACUUGGACCGCAUGGUCCGAGCUUGAAAGAUGGCUUCGGCUAUCACUUUUGGAUGGUCCCGCGGCGUAUUAGCUAGAUGGUGGGGUAACGGCUCACCAUGGCAAUGAUACGUAGCCGACCUGAGAGGGUAAUCGGCCACAUUGGGACUGAGACACGGCCCAAACUCCUACGGGAGGCAGCAGUAGGGAAUCUUCCACAAUGGACGAAAGUCUGAUGGAGCAACGCCGCGUGAGUGAAGAAGGGUUUCGGCUCGUAAAACUCUGUUGUUAAAGAAGAACAUAUCUGAGAGUAACUGUUCAGGUAUUGACGGUAUUUAACCAGAAAGCCACGGCUAACUACGUGCCAGCAGCCGCGGUAAUACGUAGGUGGCAAGCGUUGUCCGGAUUUAUUGGGCGUAAAGCGAGCGCAGGCGGUUUUUUAAGUCUGAUGUGAAAGCCUUCGGCUCAACCGAAGAAGUGCAUCGGAAACUGGGAAACUUGAGUGCAGAAGAGGACAGUGGAACUCCAUGUGUAGCGGUGAAAUGCGUAGAUAUAUGGAAGAACACCAGUGGCGAAGGCGGCUGUCUGGUCUGUAACUGACGCUGAGGCUCGAAAAGUAUGGGUAGCAAACAGGAUUAGAUACCCUGGUAGUCCAUACCGUAAACGAUGAAUGCUAAGUGUUGGAGGGUUUCCGCCCUUCAGUGCUGCAGCUAACGCAUUAAGCAUUCCGCCUGGGGAGUACGGCCGCAAGGCUGAAACUCAAAGGAAUUGACGGGGGCCCGCACAAGCGGUGGAGCAUGUGGUUUAAUUCGAAGCUACGCGAAGAACCUUACCAGGUCUUGACAUACUAUGCAAAUCUAAGAGAUUAGACGUUCCCUUCGGGGACAUGGAUACAGGUGGUGCAUGGUUGUCGUCAGCUCGUGUCGUGAGAUGUUGGGUUAAGUCCCGCAACGAGCGCAACCCUUAUUAUCAGUUGCCAGCAUUAAGUUGGGCACUCUGGUGAGACUGCCGGUGACAAACCGGAGGAAGGUGGGGAUGACGUCAAAUCAUCAUGCCCCUUAUGACCUGGGCUACACACGUGCUACAAUGGAUGGUACAACGAGUUGCGAACUCGCGAGAGUAAGCUAAUCUCUUAAAGCCAUUCUCAGUUCGGAUUGUAGGCUGCAACUCGCCUACAUGAAGUCGGAAUCGCUAGUAAUCGCGGAUCAGCAUGCCGCGGUGAAUACGUUCCCGGGCCUUGUACACACCGCCCGUCACACCAUGAGAGUUUGUAACACCCAAAGUCGGUGGGGUAACCUUUUAGGAACCAGCCGC